AGAGUUUGAUCCUGGCUCAGGACGAACGCUGGCGGCGCGCCUAACACAUGCAAGUCGAACGAGCGAGAGAGAGCUUGCUUUCUCGAGCGAGUGGCGAACGGGUGAGUAACGCGUGAGGAACCUGCCUCAAAGAGGGGGACAACAGUUGGAAACGACUGCUAAUACCGCAUAAGCCCACGGGUCGGCAUCGACCAGAGGGAAAAGGAGCAAUCCGCUUUGAGAUGGCCUCGCGUCCGAUUAGCUAGUUGGUGAGGUAAUGGCCCACCAAGGCGACGAUCGGUAGCCGGACUGAGAGGUUGAACGGCCACAUUGGGACUGAGACACGGCCCAGACUCCUACGGGAGGCAGCAGUGGGGAAUAUUGCACAAUGGGGGAAACCCUGAUGCAGCGACGCCGCGUGGAGGAAGAAGGUCUUCGGAUUGUAAACUCCUGUUGUUGAGGAAGAUAAUGACGGUACUCAACAAGGAAGUGACGGCUAACUACGUGCCAGCAGCCGCGGUAAAACGUAGGUCACAAGCGUUGUCCGGAAUUACUGGGUGUAAAGGGAGCGCAGGCGGGAAGACAAGUUGGAAGUGAAAUCUAUGGGCUCAACCCAUAAACUGCUUUCAAAACUGUUUUUCUUGAGUAGUGCAGAGGUAGGCGGAAUUCCCGGUGUAGCGGUGGAAUGCGUAGAUAUCGGGAGGAACACCAGUGGCGAAGGCGGCCUACUGGGCACCAACUGACGCUGAGGCUCGAAAGUGUGGGUAGCAAACAGGAUUAGAUACCCUGGUAGUCCACACCGUAAACGAUGAUUACUAGGUGUUGGAGGAUUGACCCCUUCAGUGCCGCAGUUAACACAAUAAGUAAUCCACCUGGGGAGUACGACCGCAAGGUUGAAACUCAAAGGAAUUGACGGGGGCCCGCACAAGCAGUGGAGUAUGUGGUUUAAUUCGACGCAACGCGAAGAACCUUACCAAGUCUUGACAUCCUGCGACGAUGCUGGAAACAGUAUUUUCCUUCGGGACGCAGAGACAGGUGGUGCAUGGUUGUCGUCAGCUCGUGUCGUGAGAUGUUGGGUUAAGUC
rnacentral:rRNA from 1 species